GCUCAGUUGGUUGAGAGUUCAACUCUUGAUUUCAGCUCAGGUCAUGAUCCCAGGGUCAUGGGAUUGAGCCCCAUGUUGGGCU
rnacentral:tRNA from 1 species